CUGCUGAAUAUGAGGACUUUCUUCCAGUGUGCUUUAUAUGCUCAGUGAGACUUCUUUAAAAAUCAAAACAAAUUUUUCUUUGAAAGCCUUUAUCAAUUGAAGAUAGCUUCUGAGUUACAGAAGGAGGUAUGUGUCUGCUUCCAUUCUCAGCACUGGAGCCACAUCUGGCUUUGUUCUGUGCAGGUACAGUACAUGUUUCCAACAUUUCUAUGAGUUCAUGUAUGUGUAACUCCUGUUGUAUAUGGAAAACCUUGUUUUUUUGUGUGUCCUCCAUUCCCUCUGGCUCUUACAAUAUUUCUGCCUCCUUUUCUGCAGAUUUCCCUAAAAAAAGAUAGAGAUUUGAUGAAGACAACCCAUUUAAGAUUGAGUGUUCACAGUCUCUGCUCUCUGCUUAAUGUCCAGCUAUGUGUCUCUGAUGAAGGAAGAGACUUCUCUGAAGACAGAUGUGCAAGUUGAUAAUUAAUGAGCAUAGCUGAUAUCAUUAGAAGACAUUUAAUUGCUAAACACCUUUACCCCAACUAUAUAUAGUAUUUGCUUUCCUCUAGGUCCCUGGUCUAUCUGAUUCUUGGCUGCUGGAACAAUGUCAGGCAUGGGUUAUAUCUCAGAGAGGAGAUCUUAAUUACAACCAGAGAGUGUUUGCUUGCUGCCACAACUGUUGUGCCACAGUCAUACCUGGUUAUCUUUGCAGGUAUGUCUCAAUUGUUGAUUGCAGAUACUGUAUCUGGGCAGGUAUUGACCUUUUCUCCUCUGGUAGUACACAUAAUAUCUCCCACUACCAUGAGCACUAAUAUCCAGUAGGUAUUCAGUAGGUAGGUACCAGCUCAACUUCUCCAAUUUCAGUGAGUAAAGAAGACAAUAUCUUUAGGCCUAGAACCUUACCACCAGUCUGUGGCCAGCUAUCAAUGGCCUUGACAUUGAUUGCGGUAUCUGGGGCUUUCCAUAGGGCCAUGUGUCCAACAACUUAACCAGAAUUAAUACAUUCCCAGCACUGGUGGAUUCACUUGUUGGUGAGAGGUGUCUAAUUAGGGAUUUGUCUCCCUGUAUCCAAUUUAGAUAUAGUUCAUAAAUAUAUGUUAUAUUUUUAAAAGUAUACCCUAUUAAGUGUGCAUGAAAUCCCUCAAAUGGCAAUAGAUUUGGCUGUCCCUCCCAGUAUUCUUCACCUCUCUCUCCCCCUCCACCUUAGAUCUUCCCAAUUUUUCUCUCUCAAUUUAUCCCAACCUAUCUAUUUUACUUCCCAUUCCAAAAAAGGUUCUUCCCUACAUGUUAAUUCCUUAUCUAUAGUGAACCCCUGUGGUUAUAAAGAUAGUAUCUUGCUAAUCAAAGACAUAGCCUCUAACAAGUACCAUAUUUGUCUCUUGGGGCCUGCAUUACCUCACUCAGGAUGAUUUUCUCUAGCUCUAUCUACUUGCCUACAAACACUUCUUUUUGUUUGUCUGAGUGCAAAGGAGAUGGAACUGGGACGACUUAAAGAGAGGUAAAUGCAGGUGAAUUCGAUCAAAAUCUAUCCUAUGAAAUUGUAAUACAUUCAAUAAAAUAUUAAUAAAGGGAGUUGAAUCCAAAUUGCAUAUAUGAAUUAGUAGAAAAAAUUAAGAUUUUUCUGCCAAUAAAUGUGUUAAACUGUUGGAGUUUUGCCUAUUUCAAUACCUUAGCCAAACCUCAUGUUGGGUUGAUUUCUUUAAAUGUAUUUUCAAACACUUAUUUCUCUCCCAACAUUCUGAGAAUUACAAGAUGUCACAUUGAGUUAGAGCCAGCUAAGAUAAAGAGACUCCCAAACAAACAUGAACACUGAGCUUUUUUGCAAUCAGAAUCACGUAGAAGAGAAAAUACAGAGGGACCAAAAAAACGCUACAUUCUUGGAGGUCUGAAGACACAAGGCAUUUGCUCACGGUGUUAUUCUACACAGAGGGGGAGGCCAGAUUUCUAUGGAGAGAGGCUAUCAGCAUCCCAAGACAUCCCUGCUCACUUGUCAGGUUCCCAAAUCAGCCAAAAGCUGGUGGGGGUGCAAUGACCAAAGAAAUACCUUUCUAUGACUCUUCCCCUUUCCUUCCUUUAUAUUGUAAUAAUGCCUUCAAAACAAAUAGCAUCUUGUUGAUUUUCACAACUACAUCAAAUAUGUUCCCAAUAUAGUAAUGAUCCAUUGCAUUCAAAAUUUAAGUAUUCAAUGUGUGGUUUUUAUUAAUAGAAAGCUAUCAAAGGCAAAAUUACCAUGAAAAGUGGCAGAGAGACAGAAAGAGAGAGAUACAGAGAGACAGAGAAAGAGAGACAAGGAGAGAGCGAGACACAGGAGAGAAUCAGCAAAUAGCAUCAUUAAAUCAGGGGCUUACACUAUCCAGCAGAUAAGAUUAUAGUAGCCCAAGUGGGAAAGUAAGCUAAAGAAACCUUAAAUAAGGCUCUUAAUACAUCCAUUAGAAAUAACUAAGGAGGUUCUGU
rnacentral:lncRNA from 1 species